CACGAGCAGAGCAGCCCGGGGUGGGGCAGUGGGGACAGCCAUGGGAGAAGCGGUCGGGGAUGGAGCGGAUGGAACAAAUGGGACCCUCGGCGUAGCCAGAGCAGCGACCACAGACCACGCGGCAGGAGAGACCCUAGACAGAGCGGCUGCAAGCCAGGUGGCUGGGACUGGGUCAGACAAAUCCACAGGCGGUCCCAGAGCCGGCAGAGGGCAGAAGGGAUAGAAGGACCUCCUAGGCGCGCCCCGGGAUCUUCCCGGAGGAGCUCUGCUGUGUGUUUUGCCUUCUGUGGAGACAGACAAGGACCUGCUGGCGUGUGGAGGAUUCGUACCACCCUAGCCUGCUGCCAAGAAGACAACAACCCCCCCCUCGGACGGUGAGAGGAGAGGGGGAUAUUUGCAUCUCAGGAGACAUGCAAAUUUCCCCCAAACCCAGACUACCUUAGGACAGGACCUUUACCAAAUCCUGGAAAAUACCCCAAAAGAGACGAGCCGAAACAGAAUUAAAAGGUCAGAGUGGUGUCUGGACAGCAGGGCCGAGGUC